GCGGGCGUAGCUCAACUGGAUAGAGCGCCAGACUACGGAUCUGGAGGUUGCGGGUUCAACUCCCUCCGCCCGUA
rnacentral:tRNA from 1 species